rnacentral:rRNA from 1 species
GACGAACGCUGGCGGCGUGCCUAACACAUGCAAGUCGAGCGAGUGAAUCUCCUUCGGGAGUGAAACUAGCGGCGGACGGGUGAGUAACACGUGGGCAACCUGCCUCAUAGAGGGGAAUAGCCUUUCGAAAGGAAGAUUAAUACCGCAUAAGAUUGUAUCUUCGCAUGAAGUAGCAAUUAAAGGAGUAAUCCGCUAUGAGAUGGGCCCGCGGCGCAUUAGCUAGUUGGUGAGGUAACGGCUCACCAAGGCGACGAUGCGUAGCCGACCUGUGAGGGUGAUCGGCCACAUUGGGACGGAGACACGGCCCAGGCUCCUACGGGAUGCCGCAGUGGGGAAUAUUGCACAAUGGGGGAAACCCUGAAGCAGCAACGCCGCGUGAGUGAUGACGGCCUUCGGGUUGUAAAACUCUGUCUUCAGGGACGAUAAUGACGGUACCUGAGGAGGAAGCCACGGCUAACUACGUGCCAGCCGCCGCCGUAAGAC